UGAAUGCGCUGCAGCUUCGCUGUCUGUUGUGAUUCGGCUGAUUAAAGAUCUCGUCCUCAUCCUUGAAGUGACACCUACAUUAGAAAAAGAUGGAGUUUAUUAAAGAUCAGAAUGAAGACAUCAGUAUUCCAGAUCUAUGUGCAAUGAAAAGGAAGAUACAGAGGAACAAAAAGAAUAGUGCUGGGAUGAGUGACUGAUUAGAAAUUGAGAGCACCUGGAGAAGAGCGUGCUUGUUUGAUUGACCCGCAAGGGAGUGAAGCUGAAAGCUCUUGAUCGCUCAAAAAGUCUCUAUUGCACCACGCAAAAUUUGAUUGUCA